rnacentral:rRNA from 1 species
UACGGGGGGGGCAAGCGUUGUUCGGAAUUACUGGGCGUAAAGGGCUCGUAGGCGGCCAACUAAGUCAGACGUGAAAUCCCUCGGCUCAACCGGGGAAGCGGCGCCGAUACGGCCGGCCUGGAGGGGGGUAGGGGGACCUGGAACUUCCGGUGGAGCUGGUGAAAUGCGUUGAGAUCGGAAGGAACGCCCGUGGCGAAAGCGAGGUCCUGGACCCUUUCUGACGCUGAGACGCGAAAGCCAGGGGAGCGAACGGGG